rnacentral:lncRNA from 1 species
ACCCUCUCGGCCCCAGACGGGACUGGGCGGGAACUCUGCGCCCCUCUGGGCUCCCAUCAUGGCCCCCGAGAGGGGCUGAGGCUUCCGUUCCCGGUGCAGGUGAGAUCCCGCCCGAAGGAAGGCGGAGGGAGGCGCGGGCCUGGGACCAGGAGGCGGAGGCGGGCCCCGAACCGAGAGGAGCGGGUCCCGGGCGGAGCCGGAGCCUGAGAGCGCGCGCGUCCGGUUCGGCAAGGACCGCGAGGGUGGGGGGCUCCCCUCGUCUGAGAGGGUCUCCUCUGCCCUCCUCUGGGCUGUGUGAGCUCUGUGGGCCCGGAAGGUGGUGCCGGAGAGGAAGACCUGCGCCUGUCCCCGCCCUGCGUGAGCUGGCGGCCAGCGGCCUCAGUUAAGGACCGAGGGUCAGAAAGGUAAUAAUAAUAAAUUAAAGCGUUUAAAACUGUGUGCGGGCCUC